UGCCAGCCGCCGCGGUAAUACGAAGGUCCCAAGCGUUGUUCGGAAUUACUGGGCGUAAAGCGUGCGUAGGCGGCCAGGUAAGUCUGGUGUGAAAGCCCGAGGCUCAACCUCGGAAAUGCACUGGAUACUGCCUGGCUAGAGUCCGGAAGAGGAGAUCGGAAUUCCUGGUGUAGCGGUGAAAUGCGCAGAUAUCAGGAGGAACACCUAUUGCGAAGGCAGGUCUCUGGUACGUGACUGACGCUGAGACGCGAAAGCGUGGGGAGCGAACAGGAUUAGAUA
rnacentral:rRNA from 1 species